AGCGGAAGUGACUCUAGUAAGGGUGGAAGUAGGGCGACCUGCGUCAGUGCUGGGGUUCUGACCUCGCUGGGCCGCCGCCCCCUUUGGGCUGCCGCCCCCUUUGGGCUUCCACCAUGGAACUCAGCGCCGAGUACCUCCGGGAGAAGCUGCAGCGGGACCUGGAGGCAGAUCACGUGGAAGUGGAGGACACGACUCCCAACCGUUGCGCGUCCAGCUUCCGAGUUCUGGUGGUGUCCGCCAAGUUCGAGGGCAAGCCGCUGCUUCAAAGACACCGGUCCUGAGGACUACAACCUAGGGACACCUCCAGUCUCCCGGGUCAACGUAGCUUCGGGGACUGUGACUUCAGGCGCCUGCCAUUUCCUAACCCCAUCUCUCCCCCAGGCUGGUGAACGCGUGCCUAGCAGAAGAGCUUCCGCAUAUCCAUGCCUUUGAACAGAAAACCCUGACCCCAGAACAGUGGGCCUGUGAGCAGCAGAAAUAAGGGACCAGGACCUGCACAGCCAUUAAAUUAUGAAUCAGGG